rnacentral:ncRNA from 1 species
AGUAAAUAAAGCUUUUUUGGUGCCUUGUAAAAGGAGAAUAGGGAAACAGGUUAAAAUCCUGUAGGGACCCACCACUGUAUCGUUGAGCACUUGUCAUCACCACCUCACGGGAAGGGACAAUACUGCGAUGAAACGGACUCAGGAGACCUGCCAAAAAUGAUUCCAUUUG